UACGAAGGGGGCGAGCGUUGUUCGGAUUUACUGGGCGUAAAGGGCGCGCAGGCGGCGGAUCAAGUCAGAUGUGAAAGCCCCGGGCUUAACCUGGGAACUGCAUUUGGGACUGGUUUGCUAGAGGAUUUGAGGGGGGAUUGGAAUACUUGGUGCAGCAGUGAAAUGCGUAGAUAUCAAGUGGAACACCAGUGGCGAAGGCGAAUCCCUGGAAAAUACCUGACACUGAGGCACGAAAGCUAGGGGAGCAAACAGG
rnacentral:rRNA from 1 species